rnacentral:rRNA from 1 species
GUGAGGAAUAUUGGUCAAUGGGCGGGAGCCUGAACCAGCCAAGUCGCGUGAAGGAAGAAGGAUCUAUGGUUCGUAAACUUCUUUUGCAGGGGAAUAAAGUGCAGGACGUGUCCUGUUUUGUAUGUACCCUGAGAAUAAGGAUCGGCUAACUCCGUGCCAGCAGCCGCGGUAAUACGGAGGAUCCGAGCGUUAUCCGGAUUUAUUGGGUUUAAAGGGUGCGUAGGUGGUUUGAUAAGUCAGCGGUGAAAGUUUGCAGCUUAACUGUAAAAAUGCCGUUGAAACUGUCGGACUUGAGUGUAAAUGAGGUAGGCGGAAUGCGUGGUGUAGCGGUGAAAUGCAUAGAUAUCACGCAGAACUCCGAUUGCGAAGGCAGCUUACUAAGCUACAACUGACACUGAAGCACGAAAGCGUGGGGAUCAAACAGGAUUAGAUACCCGUGUAGUCA